AGAUGUGUAUAAGAGACAGACCGUACGCCUGCAAUCAGCGGAAGCCCGCGGCGAAAGCCGGGGUGACCGCGUACCUUUUGUAUAAUGGGUCAGCGAGUUGAUCUUGCGGGCAAGCUUAAGCCAGACGGCGUAGGCGCAGCGAAAGCGAGUCUGAAGAGGGCGUCCAGUCCGCGGGAUCAGACCCGAAACCGGGUGAUCUAGCCAUGGCCAGGUUGAAGGUGGGGUAACACCCACUGAAGGACCGAACCCACUGAUGUUGAAAUAUCAGGGGAUGAGCCGUGGCUAGGGGUGAAAGGCCAAUCAAACCCGGAGAUAUCUGGUUCUCCGCGAAAGCUAUUUAGGUAGCGCGUCGGACAAUAUCGCCGCCGGGGGUAGAGCACCGGAUGGGCUAGGGGGGCGCGAGCCUUACCAAACCCAACCAAACUCCGAAUACCGGCGAGCGCGAAUCCGGCAGACAGACGGCGGGUGCUAAGAUCCGUCGUCGAGAGGGAAACAACCCAGACCGCCGGCUAAGGUCCCCAAGUUGUGGUUAAGUGGGAAAGGAUGUGAGAAGGCCAAGACAGCCAGGAGGUUGGCUUAGAAGCAGCCAUCAUUUAAAGAAAGCGUAACAGCUCACUGGUCUAAAUCUUAAGCCUUCCCGCGCCGAAAAUGUAACGGGUCUCAAACCACACACCGAAGCCGCGGGCGAUGUCUCUGUUUAUCGGGGGCGUCGCGGUAGCGGAGCGUUCCGUACGCCGAUGAAGCGCGACUCGCGAGAGCGCGUCAAGGACACGGAAGCGCGAAUGCUGACAUGAGUAGCGACCAGGGAGGUGAAAACCCUCCCCGCCGAAAGUCCAAGGGUUCCUGCGCAAGGUCAAUCCGCGCAGGGUGAGCCGGCCCCUAAGUCCAGGGCGAAAGCCGCAGACGAUGGGAACCGGGUUAACAUUCCCGGGCCCGCGGGUGGUGACGGAUGAUGUACAUCGUUCGCGCGCGACGGAUCGCGCGGGCGGUCGGAUCGUUCCAGGAAACAGCCCCCGCACAGGACCGUACCCCAAACCGACACAGGUGGACAGGUAGAGCAUACCAAGGCGCUUGAGAGAACCAUGCUGAAGGAACUCGGCAACUUGCCUCCGUAACUUCGGGAGAAGGAGGCCCCGCCGGCGGGCAACCGCGGGCGGGGGGCACAAGCCAGGGAGUGGCGACUGUUUAUCAAAAACACAGGACUCUGCCAAGCCGAUCAAGGCGACGUAUAGGGUCUGACGCCUGCCCGGUGCCGGAAGGUCAAGAGGAGGAGUGCAAGCUCCGAAUCGAAGCCCCGGUAAACGGCGGCCGUAACUAUAACGGUCCUAAGGUAGCGAAAUUCCUUGUCGGGUAAGUUCCGACCUGCACGAAUGGCGUAACGACCGCUUCGGUGUCUCCAGCGUGGACUCAGCGAAAUUGAAUUCUCCGUGAAGAUGCGGAGUACCCGCGGUUAGACGGAAAGACCCUAUGCACCUUUACUGCAGCUUUGCAUUGACGUCAGAGCCGGUCUGUGCAGGAUAGGCGGGAGACUUCGAAGUCCGGGCGCCAGCCCGGGCGGAGUCGUCCUUGAGAUACCGCCCUGACCUGUUCUGGCGCCUAACCCGCGACCGUGAAUCCGGCGCGGGGACCCUGCAUGGCGGGUAGUUUGACUGGGGCGGUCGCCUCCCAAAAAGUAACGGAGGCGCGCGACGGUGGGCUCAGGCUGGUCGGAAACCAGCCGCCGAGCGCAAUGGCACAAGCCCGCCUGACUGCGAGAUCGACGGAUCGAGCAGAGACGAAAGUCGGCCAUAGUGAUCCGGUGGUUCCAUGUGGACGGGCCAUCGCUAAACGGAUAAAAGGUACGCUAGGGAUAACAGGCUAAUCUCCCCCAAGAGUCCUCAUCGACGGGGAGGUUUGGCACCUCGAUGUCGACUCAUCGCAUCCUGGGGCUGGAGAAGGUCCCAAGGGUAUGGCUGUUCGCCAUUUAAAGCGGUACGCGAGUUGGGUUCAGAACGUCGUGAGACAGUU
rnacentral:rRNA from 1 species